UGCGAGAAGGUUAACAGAGUGUACAUCAAGAUAUGGGUAGCUGUGAACUCUUUCGAGGCUCUGUGAACUAGUGACAUAUUCAUUCGAAGUUCGCCUUUUGAGCCAAGCCGAAUCAUAUCCAAGAACUCGUAGCCGGCGCUUAAUAAACGGGCACCAACACAUUUUUCUUUUUUUACGGAUUCAGUUUUGGCGCUGCUGGUGGAUAGUGCUGAUGUUUCGUGUUUUACAAGAUUACUCAUCGUGUUUGUCUGCGCUUUUCUCUUUUUUGCUGUCUAACUCUAUUGCAAAAAUAUCGUUCGUUCGUCGUCAACACGACUAUUUCGAGCAAGCGGCCAGACGAAGCAUGCGUACCCGGGUCAAAUCCUUUUUCUGCUAUUUUAUUUUUAUUUUGCCCGUUUUUAUUUUAAAUGGCUUUUUCGUGAAAAGAAAUUUCUGGACCGUUUCUUAAAUGUUAGCGACCUCUUUCAUGACGCGUAGUAAUCCGACUUCCUCAUGUUUCUGUGCCCCGGAUUCCCGUGAACGGUGCGCAGUUAAGGAGAUUGGACGAGAGUAUCCGGCAGCCGAAGAAACUGUACAGAGAAAUAUUACGUGGCAUCCCGUAUCAGAGGACGUGAUUAUUAAGGCCAACGGCAGUUAAACUUUGAUGAACAUUUUUCAACUAAUGCGUACUACCCCAUACACUGGGCAAUACUUGAUACCAAUAAAUCCAAAUGGAGAUUA